AGAUUCCGGAGAGGGAGCCUGAGAAACGGCUACCACAUCUAAGGAAGGCAGCAGGCGCGCAAAUUACCCAAUCCUGACACAGGGAGGCAGUGACAAGAAAUAACAAUACAGGGCAUUUACAUGCUUUGUAAUUGGAAUGGUGGGAAUCUAAACCUCUUCCAGAGUAGCAAUUGGAGGGCAAGUCUGGUGCCAGCAGCCGCGGUAAUUCCAGCUCCAAUAGCGUAUAUUAACGUUGUUGCAGUUAAAAAGCUCAUAGUUGGAUUUCUGCUGAAGACAAUCGGUCCGCUCUCUGAGUGAGUACUUGCUCUGACUUCAGCAUAUUUCUGGGGAACGUUUCUGUACUUAACUGUGUGGUACGGUAUCCAGAACUUUUACUUUGAGAAAAUUAGAGUGUUUCAAGCAGGCUACUGCCA
rnacentral:rRNA from 1 species